UACGUAGGGUGCAAGCGUUGUCCGGAAUUAUUGGGCGUAAAGAGCGUGUAGGCGGCCAGGUAGGUCUGCUGUGAAAACUCGAGGCUCAACCUCGAGACGUCGGCGGAAACCAUCUGGCUAGAGUCCGGAAGAGGAGAGUGGAAUUCCUGGUGUAGCGGUGAAAUGCGCAGAUAUCAGGAGGAACACCUAUUGCGAAGGCAGCUCGCUGGGACGUAACUGACGCUGAGACGCGAAAGCGUGGGGAGCAAACAGG
rnacentral:rRNA from 1 species